UACAGAGGGGGCAAGCGUUUGUUCGGAAUUACUGGGCGUAAAGGGCGCGUAGGCGGCCUUCUAAGUCGAACGUGAAAUCCCCGGGCUCAACCCGGGAACUGCGUCCGAUACUGGAAGGCUUGAAUCCGGGAGAGGGAUGCGGAAUUCCAGGUGUAGCGGUGAAAUGCGUAGAUAUCUGGAGGAACACCGGUGGCGAAGGCGGCAUCC
rnacentral:rRNA from 1 species